rnacentral:rRNA from 1 species
UGAGGAAUAUUGGUCAAUGGACGAGAGUCUGAACCAGCCAUGCCGCGUGAAGGAUGAAGGCCUUCUGGGUUGUAAACUUCUUUUAUCUGGGAAGAAACCUCCGAUUUCUAUUGGAGCCGACGGUACCAGAGGAAUAAGCACCGGCUAACUCCGUGCCAGCAGCCGCGGUAAUACGGAGGGUGCAAGCGUUAUCCGGAUUCACUGGGUUUAAAGGGUGUGUAGGCGGGCAUGUAAGUCAGUGGUGAAAUCUCCGGGCUCAACCCGGAAACUGCCAUUGAUACUAUAUGUCUUGAAUUUUGUUGAGGUUGGCGGAAUAAGUCAUGUAGCGGUGAAAUGCAUAGAUAUGACUUAGAACACCGAUUGCGAAGGCAGCUAACUAAGCAAACAUUGACGCUGAGGCACGAAAGCGUGGGGAUCAAACAGGAUUAGAUACCCCCGUAGUCC